rnacentral:lncRNA from 1 species
AUGAAGAAGAUGUACUGAGCAAGUUAAAUAUCUCUGUGACCGGUACUAUGAAAGCCAAUAUUAUGAAGCACCAAAGAAAGGUGUGAAAAAUCUGUAGGACUGUUUAUACUCCUGGCCAUCCUCCCACAGAAAGACCCUAUUAAGUCAAGAUGCCAGAUUAACAGCCCUAGAGACUUUCUGUUCCAAGGACAUCCCAAGGACCAGCAGUGAGAGUCCAGUUUUUGCCAUGCUGCCCCUGCAAUGUGACAUUGAUAUGACUAUAGUGACCAAAGGAGAAGGUAGCUCAAAUUGUUCAGGUCAGAGUGUUCAGGCUAAGAAAAAGUUGGAAUCUCAAGUCCACAGAGCUUGUCUGAGCUGGCAGAAAGCACUGAAACUGAGGCUUGUUGCAAAAGGCUUUGCAGAGCUACUAAUAAAACAUGAAAAAAAGGGAAAAUUCAUACUCUUAGAAAGAAAUAUGCUGUACAUGGCGUGCCCUGGGGAGCUGCAUUCAGGACUAGAGCCACUGGGACAUGGCAAAGAGACAAGGAAUGCAGAGAGAAGAUGUAGAAAUGUGGAAAGUGGGGUUAGUUUGCCUACUGGCUGA